UUACGUUCAAUACGUUCAAAUUACGAUUUCAACGUUCAAUACGUUCAAAUUACGAUUUCAACGUCCAAUACGUUGAACUUACGUUUUCAACGUUCAAUACGUCGAAUUUACGAUUUGAACGUUUAAAACGUUGAAUCUACGACUUAAAUUUCGACUCGGGAAUACACGCCGG